GUGGGUAUAGCUCACUGGUAGAGUACAUGCUUAGCAUGCAUGAGGUCUUGGGUUCAAUCUCUAGUACCUCCA
rfam:Camelus ferus unplaced genomic scaffold scaffold1107, whole genome shotgun sequence.